CAGGUUUUGACCCUAGAAUCUCAAGGAAAAGGACACUGAUGAAUUGAGAAGUACUCAGAAAUACCUAAGAGCUCCUGCAUAUGAGGCAUUUGUUCCACAAAACCACAUUAAUGCCCAGAGACUCUGGUUUAUCACCAUCCAGAUGUCAUAAGGCUUGUCAAGUGACUUCCAGAUGGUACAGCUAGAAUCUUGUCC